CAGUAGCCGCGGGAAAACGGAGGGUGCAAGCGUUAAUCGGAAUUACUGGGCGUAAAGCGCACGCAGGCGGUCUGACAAGUCAGAUGUGAAAUCCCCGGGCUUAACCUGGGAACUGCAUUUGAAACUGUCAGGCUGGAGUCUUGUAGAGGGGGGUGGAAUUACAUGUGUAGCGGUGUAAUGCGUAGAGAUCUGAGGAAUACCGGUGGCGAAGGCGGCCCCCUGGACAAAGACUGACGCUCAGGUGCGAAAGCGUGGGGAGCAAACAGGAUUAGAUACCCGUGUAGUCCCUGUCUCUUAUACC
rnacentral:rRNA from 1 species